UACGUAGGUGGCGAGCGUUGUCCGGAUUUACUGGGCGUAAAGAGCGCGCAGGCGGUCGUUCAAGUCGAGUGUGAAAGCCCCCGGCUCAACUGGGGAGGGUCACUCGAUACUGAUCGACUCGAAGGCAGGAGAGGGAAGUGGAAUUCCCGGUGUAGUGGUGAAAUGCGUAGAUAUCGGGAGGAACACCAGUGGCGAAGGCGGCAUCCUGGACCGGUAUUGACGCUGAGGCGCGAAAGCCAGGGGAGCAAACGGG
rnacentral:rRNA from 1 species